GGCGGACGGGUGAGUAAUGUCUGGGAAACUGCCUGAUGGAGGGGGAUAACUACUGGAAACGGUAGCUAAUACCGCAUAACGUCGCAAGACCAAAGAGGGGGACCUUCGGGCCUCUUGCCAUCGGAUGUGCCCAGAUGGAUUAGCUAGUAGGUGGGGUAACGGCUCACCUAGGCGACGAUCCCUAGCUGGUCUGAGAGGAUGACCAGCCACACUGGAACUGAGACACGGUCCAGACUCCUACGGGAGGCAGCAUG
rnacentral:rRNA from 1 species